UACGGAGGUGGCAAGCGUUGCUCGGAAUCACUGGGCGUAAAGGGCGCGUAGGCGGGGAGGUAAGUCGGGUGUGAAAUCCCUCGGCCCAACUGAGGAACUGCGCCCGAGACUGCUUCUCUUGAGUCCCGGAGAGGAAGAUGGAAUUCCCGGUGUAGCGGUGAAAUGUGUAGAGAUCGGGAGGAACACCGGUGGCGAAGGCGGCUCUCUGGACCGAUACUGACGCUGAGGCGCGAAAGCGUGGGGAGCAAACAGG
rnacentral:rRNA from 1 species